GGUUAAGCGACUAAGCGUACACGGUGGAUGCCCUGGCAGUCAGAGGCGAUGAAGGRCGUGCUAAUCUGCGAUAAGCGCCGGUAAGGUGAUAUGAACCGUUAUAACCGGCGAUACCCGAAUGGGGAAACCCAGUGUGAYUCGUCACACUAUCAUUAACUGAAUCCAUAGGUUAAUGAGGCGAACCGGGGGAACUGAAACAUCUAAGUACCCCGAGGAAAAGAAAUCAACCGAGAUUCCCCCAGUAGCGGCGAGCGAACGGGGAGGAGCCCAGAGCCUGAAUCAGCAUGUGUGUUAGUGGAAGCGUCUGGAAAGGCGCGCGAUACAGGGUGACAGCCCCGUACACAAAAGCGCAUGUGCUGUGAGCUCGAUGAGUAGGGCGGGACACGUGGUAUCCUGUCUGAAUAUGGGGGGACCAUCCUCCAAGGCUAAAUACUCCUGACUGACCGAUAGUGAACCAGUACCGUGAGGGAAAGGCGAAAAGAACCCCGGCGAGGGGAGUGAAAAAGAACCUGAAACCGUGUACGUACAAGCAGUGGGAGCCCCACCACCAAAGCAUUCUCUGGUGUUGAAGGCCCUGCAAAGCAGCAUCGCGGUGGCGGAGCGUCGUUUGCGACGCCCAACACACAAAACAAGCGGUGAGUGCUUUGGGGUGGGGUGACUGCGUACCUUUUGUAUAAUGGGUCAGCGACUUAUAUUCUGUAGCAAGGUUAACCGWAUAGGGGAGCCGSAGGGAAACCGAGUCUUAAYYGGGCGUUAAGUUGCAGGGUAUAGACCCGAAACCCGGUGAUCUAGCCAUGGGCAGGUUGAAGGUUGGGUAACACUAACUGGAGGACCGAACCGACUAAUGUUGAAAAAUUAGCGGAUGACCUGUGGCUGGGGGUGAAAGGCCAAUCAAACCGGGAGAUAGCUGGUUCUCCCCGAAAGCUAUUUAGGUAGCGCCUCGUGAAUUCAUCUCCGGGGGUAGAGCACUGUUUCGGCUAGGGGGCCAUCCCGGCUUACCAACCCGAUGCAAACUGCGAAUACCGGAGAAUGUUAUCACGGGAGACACACGGCGGGUGCUAACGUCCGUCGUGAAGAGGGAAACAACCCAGACCGCCAGCUAAGGUCCCAAAGUCAUGGUUAAGUGGGAAACGAUGUGGGAAGGCCCAGACAGCCAGGAUGUUGGCUUAGAAGCAGCCAUCAUUUAAAGAAAGCGUAAUAGCUCACUGGUCGAGUCGGCCUGCGCGGAAGAUGUAACGGGGCUAAACCAUGCACCGAAGCUGCGGCAGCGAACGUAUCACUUAAAGCGAUUCAGCGGGUUACGAUUGACGGAGCGAAGCGACGUCAAAGCGUAUACAAAGUCGAGUCGGUUUAAGGAUACGUUCGUUGGGUAGGGGAGCGUUCUGUAAGCCUGYGAAGGUGKSYYGUGAGGSWUGCUGGAGGUAUCAGAAGUGCGAAUGCUGACAUAAGUAACGAUAAAGCGGGUGAAAAGCCCGCUCGCCGGAAGACCAAGGGUUCCUGUCCAACGUUAAUCGGGGCAGGGUGAGUCGACCCCUAAGGCGAGGCCGAAAGGCGUAGUCGAUGGGAAACGGGUUAAUAUUCCCGUACUUGGUGUUACUGCGAAGGGGGGACGGAGAAGGCUAUGUUGGCCGGGCGACGGUUGUCCCGGUUUAAGCGUGUAGGUGUGUGUUCCAGGUAAAUCCGGUUCACUUUAACACUGAGGCGUGAYGACGAGGCACUACGGUGCUGAAGCAACAAAUGCCCUGCUUCCAGGAAAAGCCUCUAAGCAUCAGGUAACAUCAAAUCGUACCCCAAACCGACACAGGUGGUCAGGUAGAGAAUACCAAGGCGCUUGAGAGAACUCGGGUGAAGGAACUAGGCAAAAUGGUGCCGUAACUUCGGGAGAAGGCACGCUGACAYGUAGGUGAAGUGAUUUACUCAYGGAGCUGAAGUCAGUCGAAGAUACCAGCUGGCUGCAACUGUUUAUUAAAAACACAGCACUGUGCAAACACGAAAGUGGACGUAUACGGUGUGACGCCUGCCCGGUGCCGGAAGGUUAAUUGAUGGGGUCAGCGCAAGCGAAGCUCCUGAUCGAAGCCCCGGUAAACGGCGGCCGUAACUAUAACGGUCCUAAGGUAGCGAAAUUCCUUGUCGGGUAAGUUCCGACCUGCACGAAUGGCGUAAUGAUGGCCAGGCUGUCUCCACCCGAGACUCAGUGAAAUUGAACUCGCUGUGAAGAUGCAGUGUACCCGCGGCAAGACGGAAAGACCCCGUGAACCUUUACUAUAGCUUGACACUGAACAUUGAGCCUUGAUGUGUAGGAUAGGUGGGAGGCUUUGAAGYGUGGACGCCAGUCUGCRUGGAGCCGACCUUGAAAUACCACCCUUUAAUGUUUGAUGUUCUAACGUGGACCCGUWAYCCGGGUUGCGGACAGUGUCUGGUGGGUAGUUUGACUGGGGCGGUCUCCUCCUAAAGAGUAACGGAGGAGCACGAAGGUUGGCUAAUCCUGGUCGGACAUCAGGAGGUUAGUGCAAUGGCAUAAGCCAGCUUGACUGCGAGCGUGACGGCGCGAGCAGGUGCGAAAGCAGGUCAUAGUGAUCCGGUGGUUCUGAAUGGAAGGGCCAUCGCUCAACGGAUAAAAGGUACUCCGGGGAUAACAGGCUGAUACCGCCCAAGAGUUCAUAUCGACGGCGGUGUUUGGCACCUCGAUGUCGGCUCAUCACAUCCUGGGGCUGAAGUAGGUCCCAAGGGUAUGGCUGUUCGCCAUUUAAAGUGGUACGCGAGCUGGGUUUAGAACGUCGUGAGACAGUUCGGUCCCUAUCUGCCGUGGGCGCUGGAGAACUGAGGGGGGCUGCUCCUAGUACGAGAGGACCGGAGUGGACGCAUCACUGGUGUUCGGGUUGUCAUGCCAAUGGCACUGCCCGGUAGCUAAAUGCGGAAGAGAUAAGUGCUGAAAGCAUCUAAGCACGAAACUUGCCCCGAGAUGAGUUCUCCCUGAGACUUAGAGUCUCCUGAAGGAACGUUGAAGACGACGACGUUGAUAGGCCGGGUGUGUAAGCGCAGCGAUGCGUUGAGCUAACCGGUACUAAUGAACCGUGAGGCUUAACCUU
rnacentral:rRNA from 1 species